UAGAUAAACAAGAAAAAGCCCGGCAGCUUUACUAACUACAUAAGUAAACAUUUCUUAGAGGAAAGAACAAUAUGUGGGAAAUAUUGCUAUUAUCUCCCGGCGCUGUUCCUUCGUCCGGAUUGUGGCCCGAGCUCCUGGGCUUUUGAGUGUUUCGGAGGACCGAUGCGUGUGGAGCCGCACGGGUGGAGAAGCAGACAGCUGUGAGGCACACCUGGCCAGAUGUGCGCCAGCUGGCGGGAGUGGGCAUGGCUUAGCUGCUCCUCCAUGCGAUGACUGCUUGGAUGUUGAGUAGUAGAUUGACAGCUGGAGCCUGUGCACUUGUACCCACAGCAAGCUCUCCCCUGGAGGAAGAUGUGAGGAGCACACCUAGGACGGCCUCAGCAUCUACUGUGUGGUCCAUUUUCAGGUUUUUCCCCUCUGUGUUUUUUGUUUUGUUUUGUUUUGUUUGCUUGUUUGCCCAUCCCACUGGUCCUUGGGAAGUGGCAACCUCAACCGUGAGUUAAUGCCAGGGUUUACACAUGCUAGGCAAGCUCUCUCCCAACCGAGCCUUAUCCGCCACCCAUAACAAGAGGAAAAUCAAACAGCACAAACUAAUCGUUCUGUCUUUCCUCUCAGUCCUCCCUGCUUUGCAAGAUCCUGUGGUCUGGGCUUCUGUUUUUCUGAUGAUGUUGGUCCGUGUAGCCCCGUGUAGAUCUAAGUAAGUGGCUUUGGAAGGUUCAUAUCUCUUUUAGGACCAUGUGUUGCAAUCCCUAAUCUGUGGCAGUACUGAGAAAUGACGUAAUCUUUAGGCCAUGGGACCUAGCAGAAGGAAGUUAGAUCAUUGGCACCUGCCUAUGAAAGGUGUGCCCUUCCCCCA
rnacentral:lncRNA from 1 species